AUACGGAGGGUCCGAGCGUUAUCCGGAAUCAUUGGGUUUAAAGGGUCCGUAGGCGGGAAUCUAAGUCAGUGGUGGAAUCUUGCAGCUCAACUGUAAAAUUGCCAUUGAUACUGGAUUUCUUGAAUUAGUGUGAAGUGGUUAGAAUGUGUAGUGUAGCGGUGAAAUGCAUAGAUAUUACACAGAAUACCAAUUGCGAAGGCAGAUCACUAACACUAUAUUGACGCUGAGGGACGAAAGCGUGGGGAGCGAACAGGAUUAGAAACCCGAGUAGUCC
rnacentral:rRNA from 1 species